rnacentral:lncRNA from 1 species
UAAGGCUUCCUCCUAUGGAGAGACAGGAGCCCAGAGCUGGGGGUCAGGGUGCUAUCACCUGCAGAGAAGGAGGGAGCCAGGCCUGGGGUCAGGGCACUGUCACCUGAUAUGGAGGAUGAAGCCCCGUGUUGGGUUAGGGCACUGCCACUGACUCAUGCUGGGACCCUGUACAGGUCCCUGAACACAUGCUGUUCUCCAGUGCCUGGAGCAGGUGCCCUCCCAACCUUGGCCAUCCCUGAGGUCACCUGGGCUGCUGUCAGCAGUUCCCAGCAGGCUGACAGCCUCCUGCCUGGAAGCCCUGCUGCUUUCAGGGUCUCUGCCCCCACAACCCUUUCCCAGUGGGGCUAGGGCUGUGGCUCCAUUGCCCUCCUUCCUCGUCCUCCUGCAGGCUGGUGUGGAGGUGUCCUCCCCACAGCAUCCCCAGCCCUGCCCCCCAUAGACCUGGCCCACUCCUUGUCCCUCUGUACUGAGUUUUCUCCCUCCCUGUCUCAGCUCCCCACUCCUUCCCCCUUUCUGGAACCAUCUCCCAACAAACUAUCUGCCCCCCGAAUCUUUGCCUCGCUGUUGACUUCUACAAGAACAUACAUGAAGAUGGGCCCGUUGCUGCUGCCUUGUCUGGGACUCAGGGGUCCUUUCCGGGGGUGGGUAGGUGGUAGUGUCAGGCAAAGUGACUUCUCUUUGGAAGGGAUUUGGGGUCCUCCUGCAUGAAGCUUUGUGUGUAUGAGUAUGCGUGUGUGUAAGUGUAUAUAUGGGUGUGUAUACCUGUAUGAGUGUGUGUGUGGGCAUGUAUGCAUGUGUAUACAUAUGUGAGUAUGCCUUUGUGAAGAUCUGUAUGUGAUUUAAGUGUGUGUGCGUGUUCACGCGUGUAUGCUACUGUGUAGGCCUGUUUUGUUACUGCAUGUGCAUGCAUAUAUGUGUGCAUGACUGCAUGUAUGUGAGUGCGUGUGCGUGGUGUGUGCGUCUGUAUGUGUAUGCAUGUGGGUAUGUAGAUGUGUGUGUAUGCAUGCUUGUGUGUAUGAAUGCCUGUGUGCGGCUGCAUGUGUGUGAAGUGCACCUGUCGUGUGUGCGUGUUGUGUGUGUGUGUGCAUGCACAUUUGAAGUGACCUCAGGUUUCUCUCUCGCCCGCAGGGCUCUGCUUUAUCUGCCCAGAAGGGCACACAUGCACAGUGUCGAUCAAUCACACUCUCCCUUCCUCUGUUUAGGUUUUUGGAUUGCAAGGGGUUUCCAGGGGCAUGUAUGACGGUCCUGUGUACGAGGUACCAGCUACACCCAAAUAUGCAACUCCCGCUCCUUCAGCCAAAUCUUCGCCUUCUAAACACCAGCCCCCACCCAUCAGAAACCUCCACCAGUCCAACUUCAGCUUAUCAGGUGCCCAGAUAGAUGACAACAAUCCCAGGCGCACCGGCCACCGCAUCGUGGCGCCCCCUGGUGGCCGCUCCAACAUCACCAGCCUCGGUUGAACGUGGAUGCGCGGAGGAGCUAGCCUGAAGGAUUCUGGGAAUCAUGUCCAUCCCUUUUCCUGUCAGUGUUUUUGAAACCCACAGUUUUAGUUGGUGCUGAUGGAGGGAGGGGGAAGUCGAAGGAUGCUCUUUCCCUUUUCUGUUUAGGAAGAAGUGGUACUAGUGUGGUGUGUUUGCUUGGAAAUUCCUUGCCCCACAGUUGUGUUCAUGCUGAAUCCACCUCGGAGCAUGGUGUUUUCAUUCCCCCUUCCUAGUGAACCACAGGUUUUAGCAUUGUCUUGUUCUGUCCCUUCCACUUCUAACUCCACUGGCUCCAUGAUUCUCUGAGUGGUGGUUCCUUUGCACCCUGUAGAUGUUCUAGGAUAGUUGAUGCAUGUUACUAAAUUACGUAUGCAAGUCUGUGAGUGCGUCUGAGGGGACAUCGCCAAGGACUGACUGAGACACGAUGCCGAGACCUCAAGCCCUGAGGGGCAGUCCCAAAACCCUUACAGUGAAGAUGUUUACUCAUUGCCCCCACCUCUGGUCCACACUAGAAAGAAGCUCGCCCCACCUCCACCUGUGAGAUCCGUGAAUUCUCGGAAUGGCAGGGGAAGCCUUGCACUAGGUUGCAGAGAAGCAUCCUCCACAUCCUGUGUCAGAAACCCUGGUCUCCGUGGCACUUGUAACUCACCGUGCUGUCUUCUGGUCUGUGUGUGUUCUUCAAGCCAGCUCUAGGCUUCAGGCCGAGCCAGGUUCACACUCAGAAAGAGGUCUCCCCAUCCCCAUUCGGGGCUGACGAUGGGGGGCUGAUGGCUGCCCCUGCGUGGCCUGAGUCCUGGUCCCUCUGAGGCAGUUGACGGGGCAGUCAGAUUUUUAAAGUUUUGUACAAAGUUUUCCUUUGUAAUCACUCCCAUUUUUACUUAACAACCAACUUGUUGUGGCUCUUAUUUCUGAAUUCAAAGCUUGUGAAAAAAUAAAGAAAAUGAACUGCCCACUG